CCGCGCCUCGAGUGGUGUUCACUUUUAUUGGGUUUAAAGCGUUCGUAGCCGGUUUAACAAGUUCCUGGUGAAAUUCCAUUGUAAACAAUGGAGCUUGCUGGGAAAACUGUUAGACUUGGGACUGGGAGAGGGCAGAGGUACUCAUGAGGUAGGGGUAAAAUCCUGUAAUCUUAUGGGGACCACCUGUGGCGAAGGCGUCUGCCUAGAACGGGUCCGACGGUGAUGGACGAAAGCUAGGGGAGCGAUCGGGAUUAGAUACCCGAGUAGUCC
rnacentral:rRNA from 1 species